CACGCCGUAAACGGUGGGUACUAGGUGUGGGUCUCAUUUCACGAGAUCUGUGCCGUAGCUAACGCAUUAAGUACCCCGCCUGGGGAGUACGGCCGCAAGGCUAAAACUCAAAGGAAUUGA
rnacentral:rRNA from 1 species